rnacentral:rRNA from 1 species
UACGGGUGGAGCAAGCGUUGUUCGGAUUUACUGGGCGUAAAGGGCGCGUAGGCGGCCAGCACAAGUCAGUUGUGAAAUCUCCGAGCUUAACUCGGAAAGGUCAACUGAUACUGUGCGGCUAGAGUGCGGAAGGGGCAACUGGAAUUCUUGGUGUAGCGGUGAAAUGCGUAGAUAUCGAGAGGAACACCUGCGGCGAAGGCGGGUUGCUGGGCUGACACUGACGCUGAUGCGCGAAAGCCAGGGGAGCGAACGGG